CCUACGGGUGGCAGCAGUGGGGAAUAUUGCACAAUGGGGGAAACCCUGAUGCAGCGACGCCGCGUGAGGGAAGAAGGAAUUCGGUAUGUAAAGCCCUAUCAGCAGGGAAGAAAAUGGCGGUACCUGAGUAAAAAGCACCGGCUAACUACGUGCCAGCAGCCGCGGUAAUACGUAGGGAGCAAGCGUUAUCCGGAUUUACUGGGGGUAACGGGAGCGUAGGCGGGAGUGCAAGUCUGGAGUGAAAGGCGCGGGCUUAACCCCCGGACUGCUGUGGAAACUGUACGGCUGGAGUGCAGGAGAGGUAAGUGGAAUUCGUGGUGUAGCGGUGAAAUGCGUAGAUAUUAGGAGGAACACCAGUGGCGAAGGCGGCUUACUGGAACGUAACUGACGUUGAUGCUCGAAAGCGUGGGGAGCAAACAGGAUUAGAUACCCGAGUAGUC
rnacentral:rRNA from 1 species